rnacentral:rRNA from 1 species
AGUGAACGCUGGCGGUAGGCCUAACACAUGCAAGUCGAACGGCAGCACAGUAAGAGCUUGCUCUUACGGGUGGCGAGUGGCGGACGGGUGAGGAAUACGUCGGAAUCUACUUUUUCGUGGGGGAUAACGUAGGGAAACUUACGCUAAUACCGCAUACGACCUACGGGUGAAAGCAGGGGAUCUUCGGACCUUGCGCGAUUGAAUGAGCCGAUGUCGGAUUAGCUAGUUGGCGGGGUAAAGGCCCACCAAGGCGACGAUCCGUAGCUGGUCUGAGAGGAUGAUCAGCCACACUGGAACUGAGACACGGUCCAGACUCCUACGGGAGGCAGCAGUGGGGAAUAUUGGACAAUGGGCGCAAGCCUGAUCCAGCCAUACCGCGUGGGUGAAGAAGGCCUUCGGGUUGUAAAGCCCUUUUGUUGGGAAAGAAAAGCAGCAGGUUAAUACCCCGCUGUUCUGACGGUACCAAAAGAAUAAGCACCGGCUAACUUCGUG